rnacentral:rRNA from 2 species
GCUUAGAGUUUGAUCCUGGCUCAGGACGAACGCUGGCGGCGUGCCUAAUACAUGCAAGUCGAACGAAACUUUCUUACACCGAAUGCUUGCAUUCACCGUAAGAAGUUGAGUGGCGGACGGGUGAGUAACACGUGGGUAACCUGCCUAAAAGAAGGGGAUAACACUUGGAAACAGGUGCUAAUACCGUAUAUCUCUAAGGAUCGCAUGAUCCUUAGAUGAAAGAUGGUUCUGCUGUCGCUUUUAGAUGGACCCGCGGCGUAUUAACUAGUUGGUGGGGUAACGGCCUACCAAGGUGAUGAUACGUAGCCGAACUGAGAGGUUGAUCGGCCACAUUGGGACUGAGACACGGCCCAAACUCCUACGGGAGGCAGCAGUAGGGAAUCUUCCACAAUGGACGCAAGUCUGAUGGAGCAACGCCGCGUGAGUGAAGAAGGUCUUCGGAUCGUAAAACUCUGUUGUUAGAGAAGAACACGAGUGAGAGUAACUGUUCAUUCGAUGACGGUAUCUAACCAGCAAGUCACGGCUAACUACGUGCCAGCAGCCGCGGUAAUACGUAGGUGGCAAGCGUUGUCCGGAUUUAUUGGGCGUAAAGGGAACGCAGGCGGUCUUUUAAGUCUGAUGUGAAAGCCUUCGGCUUAACCGGAGUAGUGCAUUGAAACUGGAAGACUUGAGUGCAGAAGAGGAGAGUGGAACUCCAUGUGUAGCGGUGAAAUGCGUAGAUAUAUGGAAGAACACCAGUGGCGAAAGCGGCUCUCUGGUCUGUAACUGACGCUGAGGUUCGAAAGCGUGGGUAGCAAACAGGAUUAGAUACCCUGGUAGUCCACGCCGUAAACGAUGAAUGCUAGGUGUUGGAGGGUUUCCGCCCUUCAGUGCCGCAGCUAACGCAAUAAGCAUUCCGCCUGGGGAGUACGACCGCAAGGUUGAAACUCAAAGGAAUUGACGGGGGCCCGCACAAGCGGUGGAGCAUGAGGUUUAAUUCGAAGCAACGCGAAGAACCUUACCAGAUCUUGACAUCCUUUGACCACCUAAGAGAUUAGGCUUUCCUUCGGGGACAAAGUGACAGGUGGUGCAUGGCUGUCGUCAGCUCGUGUCGUGAGAUGUUGGGUUAAGUCCCGCAACGAGCGCAACCCUUGUUGUCAGUUGCCAGCAUUAAGUUGGGCACUCUGGCGAGACUGCCGGUGACAAACCGGAGGAAGGUGGGGACGACGUCAAGUCAUCAUGCCCCUUAUGACCUGGGCUACACACGUGCUACAAUGGACGGUACAACGAGUCGCGAGACCGCGAGGUUUAGCUAAUCUCUUAAAGCCGUUCUCAGUUCGGAUUGUAGGCUGCAACUCGCCUACAAUGAGUCGGAAUCGCUAGUAAUCGCGAAUCAGCAUGUCGCGGUGAAUACGUUCCCGGGCCUUGUACACACCGCCCGUCGCACCAUAGAGAUUUGUAACACCCAAAGCCGGUGGGGUAACCGCAAGGAGCCAGCCGUCUAAGGUGGGACAGAUGAUUGGGGUGAAGUCGUAACAAGGUAGCCGUAGGAGAAGUGCGGCUGGAUCACCUCCUUGUCGACGCGU